rnacentral:rRNA from 1 species
CCAGCACCCCGAGUGGUCGGGACGAUUAUUGGGCCUAAAGCAUCCGUAGCCGGUUUUACAAGUCCUCCGUUAAAUCCAGCUGCUUAACAGAUGGGCUGCGGAGGAUACUAUAAGACUAGGAGGCAGGAGAGGCAAGCGGUACUCAGUGGUAGGGGUAAAAUCCGUUGAUCCAUUGAAGACCACCAGUGGCGAAGGCGGCUUGCCAGAAUGCGCUCGACGGUGAGGGAUGAAAGCUGGGGGAGCAAACCGGAUUAGAUACCCGGGUAGUCCCAGCUGUAAACGAUGCAGACUCGGUGAUGGACUAGCUUUAUGCUAGUCCAGUGCCGCAGGGAAGCCGUUAAGUCUGCCGCCUGGGUAGUACGGUCGCAAGACUG